AGUGAACGCUGGCGGUAGGCCUAACAUAUGCAAGUCGAACGGCAGCACAGUAAGAGCUUGCUCUUACGGGUGGCGAGUGGCGGACGAGUGAGGAAUACAUCGGAAUCUACUUUUUCGUGGGGGAUAACGUAGGGAAACUUACGCUAAUACCGCAUACGACCUACGGGUGAAAGCAGGGGAUCUUCGGACCUUGCGCGAUUGAAUGAGCCGAUGUCGGAUUAGCUAGUUGGCGGGGUAAAGGCCCACCAAGGCGACGAUCCGUAGCUGGUCUGAGAGGAUGAUCAGCCACACUGGAACUGAGACACGGUCCAGACUCCUACGGGAGGCAGCAGUGGGGAAUAUUGGACAAUGGGCGCAAGCCUGAUCCAGCCAUACCGCGUGGGUGAAGAAGGCCUUCGGGUUGUAAAGCCCUUUUGUUGGGAAAGAAAAGCAGCAGGUUAAUACCCCGCUGUUCUGACGGUACCCAAAGAAUAAGCACCGGCUAACUUCGUG
rnacentral:rRNA from 1 species